rnacentral:ribozyme from 1 species
UCUUCUUCUUCUUCUUCUCUUUUCUUUUCUUCUUUUUAUUUUUUUUUCCCGAAAAGAUUUCGGGGAAAAAGAAAAAAAGACGCGAGGG